GACGAACGCUGGCGGCGUGCUUAACACAUGCAAGUCGAACGGAAAGGCCCUGCUUUUGUGGGGUGCUCGAGUGGCGAACGGGUGAGUAACACGUGAGUAACCUGCCCUUGACUUUGGGAUAACUUCAGGAAACUGGGGCUAAUACCGGAUAGGAGCUCCUGCUGCAUGGUGGGGGUUGGAAAGUUUCGGCGGUUGGGGAUGGACUCGCGGCUUAUCAGCUUGUUGGUGGGGUAGUGGCUUACCAAGGCUUUGACGGGUAGCCGGCCUGAGAGGGUGACCGGCCACAAUGGGACUGAGAUACGGCCCAGACUCCUACAGGGGGCAGCAGUGGGGAGUAUUGCACAAUGGGCGGAAGCCUGAUGCAGCAACGCCGCGGGCGGAAUGACGGCCUUCGGGUUGUAAACCGCAUUCGCCUGUGACGAAGCGUGAGUGACGGUAAUGGGUAAAGAAGCACCGGCUAACUACGUG
rnacentral:rRNA from 1 species